rnacentral:rRNA from 1 species
UACGGAGGGUGCAAGCGUUAUCCGGAUUCACUGGGUUUAAAGGGUGCGUAGGCGGAUUAGAAAGUCCGUUGUGAAAUCUCUGAGCUUAACUCGGAAAUUGCGGUGGAUACUAUUAGUCUUGAAUACUGUGGAGGUUAGCGGAAUAUGUCAUGUAGCGGUGAAAUGCAUAGAUAUGACAUAGAACACCAAUUGCGAGGGCAGCUGGCUACACAGAUAUUGACGCUGAGGCACGAAAGCGUGGGGAUCAAACAGG